UUUUAUUUAAAUUUUAUUUUCAUAUUUUAUUUAAUGGUAAUAUUUUAUUUUAAUUAUUUAUUUCAAGUGGUUCUUUUAAGCAUACAUUUUUUCAUUAAUUUUAUUUUCUUGACUUAAAAUUAUUUUCAACUUCUGAUUUUUGGGAUGAGGGUUGACCAAUGUCUCAUGGUCAACCUGACCUUUUAUUGAAAUUUUAUUUCCCAUUUUCAUUUUAUUUUGGAUUUAUU
rnacentral:lncRNA from 1 species